GCCCCGGCUAACUACGUGCCAGCAGCCGCGGUAAUACGUAGGGGCGGAGCGUUGUCCGGAAUUAUUGGGCGUAAAGGGUACGUAGGCGGCUUUUUAAGUUUGACGUGAAAGCCCGGGGCUUAACUCCGGCAAGCGUUGAAAACUGGAAGGCUUGAGUGAUGGAAGGGACAGUGGAAUUCCUGGUGUAGUGGUGAAAUGCGCAGAGAUCAGGAAGAAUACCAGUGGCGAAGGCGACUGUCUGGACAUUAACUGACGCUGAGGUACGAAAGCGUGGGGAGCAAACAGGAUCAGAUACCCUGGUAGUCCACGCUGUAAACGAUGAGUGCAAGGUGUUGGGGGUCAAACCCCGGUGCCGCCGUUAACACAGUAAGCACUCCGCCUGGGGAGUACGUACGCA
rnacentral:rRNA from 1 species